AACGCACAUUGCGCCUCCCUUUAUGGGGAGGCAUGCCUGUCUGAGCGUCAUUUAAAUCGAUAGGACCGACUGGGUUCUGUGUUGGGCCUCGCCUGUGAGGGCGUCGCCUCGAAUGAAUCGGUCGAAUGAGCGGAUGAGAUCCAAUAGGACUGACCGUUCAGAGACCUUAAAUCUCUGAUUUGACCUCAGAUCAGGUAGGGACACCGCCUGAACUUAA
rnacentral:misc_RNA from 1 species